ACGCUGGCGGCAGGCUUAACACAUGCAAGUCGAACGGUAACAGGGAUUAGCUUGCUAAUCUGCUGACGAGUGGCGGACGGGUGAGUAAUGCUUGGGAAUCUGGCUUAUGGAGGGGGAUAACUACGGGAAACUGUAGCUAAUACCGCGUAAAAUCUUCGGAUUAAAGGGUGGGACUUUCGAGCCACCUGCCAUAAGAUGAGCCCAAGUGGGAUUAGGUAGUUGGUUAGGUAAAGGCUGACCAAGCCGACGAUCUCUAGCUGGUCUGAGAGGAUGACCAGCCACACUGGAACUGAGACACGGUCCAGACUCCUACGGGAGGCAGCAGUGGGGAAUAUUGCACAAUGGGGGGAACCCUGAUGCAGCCAUGCCGCGUGAAUGAAGAAGGCCUUCGGGUUGUAAAGUUCUUUCGGUGACGAGGAAGGUUGAUAGGUUAAUAGCCUAUCAAAUUGACGUUAAUCACAGAAGAAGCACCGGCUAACUCCGUGCCAGCAGCCGCGGUAAUACGGGGGGUGCGAGCGUUAAUCGGAAUAACUGGGCGUAAAGGGCACGCAGGCGGUGACUUAAGUGAGAUGUGAAAGCCCCGAGCUUAACUUGGGAAUUGCAUUUCAUACUGGGUCGCUAGAGUACUUUAGGGAGGGGUAGAAUUCCACGUGUAGCGGUGAAAUGCGUAGAUAUGUGGAGGAAUACCGAAGGCGAAGGCAGCCCCUUGGGAAUGUACUGACGCUCAUGUGCGAAAGCGUGGGGAGCAAACAGGAUUAGAUACCCUGGUAGUCCACGCUGUAAACGAUGUCGAUUUGGGGAUUGGGCUUUGAGCUUGGUGCCCGUAGCUAACGUGAUAAAUCGACCGCCUGGGGAGUACGGCCGCAAGGUUAAAACUCAAAUGAAUUGACGGGGGCCCGCACAAGCGGUGGAGCAUGUGGUU
rnacentral:rRNA from 1 species